rnacentral:rRNA from 1 species
AUUGAACGCUGGCGGCAGGCCUAACACAUGCAAGUCGAGCGAGAAAGGUCUUCGGACUGAGUACAGCGGCGGACGGGUGAGUAAUGCGCAGGAAUCUACCUGGUAGUGGGGGAUAACUCGGGGAAACUCGAACUAAUACCGCAUACGCCCUACGGGGAAAGCGGGGGACCUUCGGCCUCGCGCUAUCAGAUGAGCCUGCGUAGGAUUAGCUUGUUGGUGAGGUAAAGGCUCACCAAGGCGACGAUCCUUAGCUGGUCUGAGAGGAUGAUCAGCCACACUGGAACUGAGACACGGUCCAGACUCCUACGGGAGGCAGCAGUGGGGAAUAUUGCGCAAUGGGCGAAAGCCUGACGCAGCCAUGCCGCGUGUGUGAAGAAGGCCCUUGGGUUGUAAAGCACUUUCAAUUGGGAAGAAAGGUUGCGUGUUAAUAGCACGUAGCUGUGACGUUACCUUUAGAGAAGCACCGGCUAACUCCGUGCCAGCAGCCGACGG